CCUACGGGGGGCUGCAGUGGGGAAUAUUGGACAAUGGGGGGAACCCUGAUCCAGCCAUGCCGCGUGUGUGAAGAAGGCCCUCGGGUUGUAAAGCACUUUCAGUGAGGAAGAACGCCUGGUGGUUAAUACCCAUCAGGAAAGACAUCACUCACAGAAGAAGCACCGGCUAACUCCGUGCCAGCAGCCGCGGUAAUACGGAGGGUGCGAGCGUUAAUCGGAAUUACUGGGCGUAAAGCGCGCGUAGGUGGCUUGAUAAGCCGGUUGUGAAAGCCCCGGGCUCAACCUGGGAACGGCAUCCGGAACUGUCAAGCUAGAGUGCAGGAGAGGAAGGUAGAAUUCCCGGUGUAGCGGUGAAAUGCGUAGAGAUCGGGAGGAAUACCAGUGGCGAAGGCGGCCUUCCGGACUGACACUGACACUGAGGUGCGAAAGCGUGGGUAGCAAACAGGAUUAGAUACCCUUGUAGUC
rnacentral:rRNA from 1 species